UAAUUUAUUUUUUUCAUUGUUUUUAUUGUUUGGGAUUCAUUGAGAAUACAAAGAAUUAAGUUACACUCCUACCCUAUGUACACCCCAGCCCAGGCCCCAUGCCUGGUCUGUAUUGUGAAUGGGGGAACAUGG